rnacentral:rRNA from 1 species
CCUACGGGAGGCAGCAGUGGGGAAUAUUGGACAAUGGGGGCAACCCUGAUCCAGCCAUGCCGCGUGUGUGAAGAAGGCCCUCGGGUUGUAAGCACUUUCAGUGAGGAAGAACGCCUGGUGGUUAAUACCCAUCAGGAAAGACAUCACUCACAGAAGAAGCACCGGCUAACUCCGUGCCAGCAGCCGCGGUAAUACGGAGGGUGCGAGCGUUAAUCGGAAUUACUGGGCGUAAAGCGCGCGUAGGUGGCUUGAUAAGCCGGUUGUGAAAGCCCCGGGCUCAACCUGGGAACGGCAUCCGGAACUGUCAAGCUAGAGUGCAGGAGAGGAAGGUAGAAUUCCCGGUGUAGCGGUGAAAUGCGUAGAGAUCGGGAGGAAUACCAGUGGCGAAGGCGGCCUUCUGGACUGACACUGACACUGAGGUGCGAAAGCGUGGGUAGCAAACAGGAUUAGAUACCCCGGUAGUC